rnacentral:lncRNA from 1 species
GGUCAAGUUCAAGUGGAACAUCACGAAGAUACCAUGCUUGGAGCUUGUUGUCCAUUGUGGUGGCCAUGGACUUGUGAAGAUGUGCUAAAGAGUGGCUCACCCAUAGUGGAGUAUGGGGGGCAAUUUACAAGUCUUCAUCGAGCCAGCGCAACCAAGAAAAGUGGUCCAUCUUGAGGAAGUCAAGAUCAUCAUCAUCUAGCUCAAGUGGACUAUGUUCAAGGUAUAUGUUUGCCGUUGAUAGGUUUUCUAUUCUAGGAUAGAUUAUUGUACUGUCAAGGGGGGCUUUGAAGUGAGUAGCUUGAUCGUAUCGUUUGUUGAGAGCUCAAACCAUUUGCAUCCUUGCAUCAUCUUUCUUGGUUAUUAUUUGGUGGUUCUCUUUGUGAGUUUUAGAGCUUAUGGCCAUCCUUAUGACAAGCUUGAGU